rnacentral:rRNA from 1 species
GACGAACGCUGGCGGCGUGCCUAAUACAUGCAAGUCGAGCGCAGGAAGUCAUCCGAACCCUUCGGGGGGACGUUGACGGAAUGAGCGGCGGACGGGUGAGUAACACGUAAAGAACCUGCCCUCAGGUCUGGGAUAACCACGAGAAAUCGGGGCUAAUACCGGAUGGGUCAUCGGACCGCAUGGUCCGAGGAUGAAAGGCGCUCCGGCGUCGCCUGGGGAUGGCUUUGCGGUGCAUUAGCUAGUUGGUGGGGUAACGGCCCACCAAGGCGACGAUGCAUAGCCGACCUGAGAGGGUGAUCGGCCACACUGGGACUGAGACACGGCCCAGACUCCUACGGGAGGCAGCAGUAGGGAAUCUUCCACAAUGGACGAAAGUCUGAUGGAGCAACGCCGCGUGAACGAUGAAGGCCCUCGGGUCGUAAAGUUCUGUUGUAAGGGAAGAACAAGUGCCGCAGGCAAUGGCGGCACCUUGACGGUACCUUGCGAGAAAGCCACGGCUAACUACGU